AGUGAUUGUGUUUGUCCCCAUGUGAUUGUCCAGGUCUGGAGAUGAUCCCGGUGAUCAGAUGAAUGAACUCAAGCAGAAGCUGAAGUCGGAGCUCAGGGCGCUACUAGUGGAGCAACACGAUCAAAUCAAGAAGAAGAAAGAACAAAACAACACUGAGCGUUUGACCAAACUCCUGGAAAUGGCCACAGAGAAGCACUGCAGUGAGGUCAAGGCACUCAACAGUGAGCCCAAGAAGAAAAACAAAAUGAAGAAAUGCAAAAGUACGGAGCAGCUUGACAAUGAUAACGCUCAGGUAAAACACCACACGAACACUGAUCGAGCGAUCGAGUGUGUCGAACACAAAAGGAAAAAUAGACGGACUGCAGUUGAAUGAGAAGCGCACUUGAGACCAGAGCCGUAACCAUGACGACAGGUUAUGUCGGACACAAAGCCAUGGUUUGGGUUGAGUUUUAACAAACGCUGACUAACAUGUGCUCACUUGCUCUCGCUCUCUCUCUCUCUCUCUCUCUCUCUCUCUCAUUGAGUCUCUGUC
rnacentral:lncRNA from 1 species